rnacentral:rRNA from 1 species
AUUGAACGCUGGCGGCAGGCCUAACACAUGCAAGUCGAGCGGCAGCGGGACCUUCGGGUUGCCGGCGAGCGGCGGACGGGUGAGUAAUGCCUAGGAAUCUGCCUGUUAGUGGGGGAUAACGCGGGGAAACUCGCGCUAAUACCGCAUACGUCCUACGGGAGAAAGCGGGGGCUCUUCGGACCUCGCGCUAACAGUUGAGCCUAGGUCGGAUUAGCUAGUUGGUGGGGUAAUGGCUCACCAAGGCGACGAUCCGUAACUGGUCUGAGAGGAUGAUCAGUCACACUGGAACGGAGACACGGUCCAGACUCCUACGGGAGGCAGCAGUGGGGAAUAUUGGACAAUGGGCGAAAGCCUGAUCCAGCCAUGCCGCGUGUGUGAAGAAGGUCUUCGGAUUGUAAAGCACUUUAAGUCGGGAGGAAGGGCUGUAGGUUAAUACCCUGCGGUUUUGACGUUACCGACAGAAUAAGCACCGGCUAACUUCGUGCCAGCAGCCGCCGUAA